AUGAACACGGAAAAACAAAAAAACCAGACWGUUCAGCAAAUGUCCUGGCCGAAAGAACCGAGCCGACCCGCCCCGUCGCAUCAGCGUGUGCUCAGUUCCUGCCCCGUCCGAGCUGGGUCCCCUGCUACUGCCGGCUGCAAGGGGAGAGCAGGGGGAGGGAGGGCGAUCCGCGAGGAUGCCGCUGGAAUGAGCAGGCGUGGGCGGGCGGCGGGAAGCGCCUGUUGCAACAGGGCGAGCAGAGGCCUCGGGGGUCCGGUCGCCAGACUGUGGAAACGCUGCUGGAAACGCCUGUGGCAGACACACAGUGCGAGGGAGUCCCAAAACCAGCGUGAACGACCCCGGAGCUUCCAGCUGCUGCAGAGCCGGCGAGGAGCCGAGCCUCCGCGCGCUCCUGGCUGCCCCGGGGCCGAAGAUGCCCCUCUGCAGCCCUUUCCCGCAGAGAAACCCCGGCACUUUGCUUUGGCCCUUUCUCUCCCCGGGGUCCAGACCUCGCUCGCUGCCUCAGACCCGACGGUUUCGAAGCCCCUUCCCCUGCCCGCGUCCUGCCGGCCCCUGCCCAGGCUGCGGAGCGAGUUUCCCUGGCGACUCUUUUUCUCGGCUUGCAACAGCGCGCUUGAAAUAAUUAGCUCCGGUAGUCUAACGAAAGGAAAGAAGAAAUCCUUUACGGACAACUCACACGAAGGCGGUGGGAAAAUUGCCUUCACCUCCGGACCGCUCUUGAUUAAGCAGAGHGCGGGGGGACGUUUGCGCCGUGCCCGCUUGCGCCAAGCCUGCCCCGGAGCGGGCGCCAGCGCCRCGAGCCCGAACCCAGCCUGCAGCGAGGGACGAGGGUCCGGCCACGCCGGGGAGGCUGCCCGGCAGGCGAAGGGCUUUAGCAAAGCGUCCUCGGAUUUCUGUUCUCUGGUUUCAAGCGCUGGGAAGAGAAAUUGCAGACCAACCUCUAAAGAACGGUAUAAAAAAGAAGGGACAAUUACUGGGGAAGAUGCUCGAGGAUUUGCAAUGAUGAGCCGGUGUAGAUACACAUAG
rnacentral:lncRNA from 1 species